UUAAAUUGAAGAGUUUGAUCAUGGCUCAGAUUGAACGCUGGCGGCAGGCUUAACACAUGCAAGUCGAACGGUAACAGGAAGAAGCUUGCUUCUU
rnacentral:rRNA from 1 species